ensembl:rRNA 5S_rRNA 5S ribosomal RNA
GUCUACGGCCAUACCACCCUGAAUGCUCCCGAUCUCAUCUGAUCUCGGAAGCUAAGCAGGGUUGGACCUGGUUAGUACUUGGAUGGGAAGUGAGGGCUCUCAAAAGCCUUUCGGUAGUGUAUCCA